rnacentral:rRNA from 1 species
CUCCGCCGGCGACCGGCGCACGGGUGAGUAACACGUAUGCAACCUGCCCCUGUCAGGGGGACAACCCGCCGAAAGGCGGGCUAAACUCGCGUACAUGCCACCGGGGCAUCCCGGAGGCAGGAAAGGCUUCGGCCGGACAGGGAUGGGCAUGCGGCGCAUUAGGCAGUAGGCGGGGUAACGGCCCACCUAACCGACGAUGCGUAGGGGUUCUGAGAGGAAGGUCCCCCACCACUGGUACUGAGACACGGACCAGACUCCUACGGAAGGCAGCAG